rnacentral:lncRNA from 1 species
GAUAGGCGAAUGGGCGAUUCCUCAAUCGUUCCUCCACAUCACCGAAGAUUUACCAACUGAUCUGCAUAAAACCUAGAUCGACGACUCCUUAAUCGUUCCUCUAACCAAUUUCUGUCACACUUUUGCUGUAUCAUGGCACGUAGUACAGCAGAUGCCGGUAGAUGUCGUGGUUUUGUGGCAGGAGGUGGCAGAGGGCAAGGUGUGACACAGUAG